rnacentral:ncRNA from 2 species
UUAAUGCUAAUUGUGAUAGG